rnacentral:rRNA from 1 species
UACGUAGGGUGCAAGCGUUGUCCGGAUUUAUUGGGCGUAAAGAGCUCGUAGGCGGUUUUGAAAGUCGGGUGUGAAACCUCCAGGCUCAACCUGGAGACGCCACUCGAUACUUCAAUGACUUGAGUUCGGUAGGGGUAAGCGGAAUUCCUGGUGUAGCGGUGAAAUGACGCAGAUAUCAGGAGGAACACCGACGGCGAAGGCAGCUUACUGGGCCGAUACUGACGCUGAGGAGCGAAAGCGUGGGGAGCGAACAGG